rnacentral:lncRNA from 10 species
UCUCGAACUCCUGACCUCAGGCGAUCCGCCUGCCUCGGCUUCCCAAAGUGCUGGGAUUACAAGUGUGAGCCACUGUGCCCGGUCGGGGUCUGCUUUCUCUUUAUUCCCCGUCCUCUCACAAACUACAUCCAGGGGCGGUAGCUGCUAAAAGGACUCAAUUCUGCAACCUCAGCUUCUGACACCUUCAAAUAAAUUAAAUGCUGGUCCUAGGGCUCGCUCCCCAGCUCUUCUGAUGUCACUGCCAGGUUCCACAGCCAGUUGUCGGACAUCUCCUGCUUCCUCAGCCAAGAACACCUCUCAGAUGAGAUCAAACCGCCCAGCUUUCCUCUUAGCAUCUUCCUUUAUUUUCCACUUCUGGCUGGUGGAAGAGAGAUCGUAGUUCUCUAUUCCCUACAUUUUAACUCCACGAAUAUUUUAGAUUAAGUGAAGUCUUGCUGUUCUUCCUGAUGGAAAUGGUAAUUAUAAACAUACAAAGAUACCCAUACACACAUUCUUUACUCAGGGCCCUCUUGUGCUUUGGCAAAUGAUAAAAAUUAUCUCUAACUCACACAACGACCCUGGAAGAUCUGGACAAUGCUAUCACUAUUUCACAGCUGAGAGAUCGGGAGCAUUUAAAGCCACAGAAGGAAUAGAUUGGCUUCGCUUCAUAUUGUUUCCUUGUGAAAUAAAACCAGUGAAACAC